UCCCCGGUAGCUCAAUUGGCAGAGCAUCCGGCUGUUAACCGGAGGGUUGCUGGUUCGAGUCCAGCCCGGGGAG
rnacentral:tRNA from 2 species